rnacentral:rRNA from 1 species
UACGUAGGGUGCGAGCGUUGUCCGGAAUUACUGGGCGUAAAGAGCUCGUAGGUGGUUUGUCGCGUUGUUCGUGAAAUUCCCUGGCUUAACUGGGGGCGUGCGGGCGAUACGGGCAGACUGGAGUACUGCAGGGGAGACUGGAAUUCCUGGUGUAGCGGUGGAAUGCGCAGAUAUCAGGAGGAACACCGGUGGCGAAGGCGGGUCUCAGGGCAGUAACUGACGCUGAGGAGCGAAAGCGUGGGGAGCGAACAGG